AGCGAACGCUGGCGGCAGGCUUAACACAUGCAAGUCGAACGGGCUUCUUCGGACGUCAGUGGCAGACGGGUGAGUAACACGUGGGAACGUGCCCUUCGGUUCGGAAUAACUCAGGGAAACUUGAGCUAAUACCGGAUACGCCCUUUUGGGGAAAGGUUUACUGCCGAAGGUUCGGCCCGCGUGUGAUUCGCUUGGUGGUGGGGUAACGGCCUGCCAAGGCCACGAUCAGUGGCUGGUCGGAGAGGAGGAACGGCCACACUGGGACUGAGACACGGCCGAGAGUCGUACGGGAGGAAGCGGGGGGGAAUAGUGGACAAGGGGGGCAAGCGGGAGCCAGCCAGGCGGGGGGAGAGAUGAAGGCGUUAGGGUUGUAGGGCUGUUUUGUCGGGGAGGAGAAUGACGGUACCGGAAGAAUAAGCCCCGGCUAACUUCGUG
rnacentral:rRNA from 1 species